rnacentral:tRNA from 1 species
GGCGCCGUGGCUUAAUGGUUACGGCUUCUGCCUCACAAGCAGAAGGUUCAGGGAUCAAAUCCCGGCCGGUACCU